AUUGAACGCUGGCGGCAUGCCUUACACAUGCAAGUCGAACGGCAGCACGGGUGCUUGCACCUGGUGGCGAGUGGCGAACGGGUGAGUAAUACAUCGGAACAUGUCCUGUAGUGGGGGAUAGCCCGGCGAAAGCCGGAUUAAUACCGCAUACGAUCUACGGAUGAAAGGGGGGGACCUUCGGGCCUCGCGCUAUAGGGUUGGCCGAUGGCUGAUUAGCUAGUUGGUGGGGUAAAGGCCUACCAAGGCGACGAUCAGUAGCUGGUCUGAGAGGACGACCAGCCACACUGGGACUGAGACACGGCCCAGACUCCUACGGGAGGCAGCAGUGGGGAAUUUUGGACAAUGGGCGAAAGCCUGAUCCAGCAAUGCCGCGUGUGUGAAGAAGGCCUUCGGGUUGUAAAGCACUUUUGUCCGGAAAGAAAUCCUUGGCCCUAAUACGGUCGGGGGAUGACGGUACCGGAAGAAUAAGCACCGGCUAACUACGUG
rnacentral:rRNA from 1 species